UCAAAGGAAUUGACGGGGCCCGCACAAGCGGUGGAGCAUGUGGUUAAUUCGAUGCAACGCGAAGAACCUUACCUGGUCUUGACAUCCCGGAGACCCUUAGGAAACUAGGGGGUGCUUCCAUCUGGAAGAAUCUGGAGACAGGUGCUGCAUGGCUGUCGUCAGCUCGUGUCGUGAGAUGUUGGGUUAAGUCCCGCAACGAGCGCAACCCUUGCCUUUAGUUGCCAGCAGUUCGGCUGGGCACUCUAAAGGGACUGCCGGUGUUAAACCGGAGGAAGGUGGGGAUGACGUCAAGUCCUCAUGGCCUUUAUGACCAGGGCUACACACGUACUACAAUGGCCGAUACAAAGGGCAGCGACACUGCGAGGUGAAGCCAAUCCCGUAAAAUCGGUCUCAGUCCGGAUUGGAGUCUGCAACUCGACUCCAUGAAGUUGGAAUCGCUAGUAAUCGCGGAUCAGCAUGCCACGGUGAAUACGUUCCCGGGCCUU
rnacentral:rRNA from 1 species